rnacentral:rRNA from 1 species
AGUGAACGCUGGCGGUAGGCCUAACACAUGCAAGUCGAACGGCAGCACAGUAAGAGCUUGCUCUUACGGGUGGCGAGUGGCGGACGGCUGAGGAAUACAUCGGAAUCUACUUUUUCGUGGGGGAUAACGUAGGGAAACUUACGCUAAUACCGCAUACGACCUACGGGUGAAAGCAGGGGAUCUUCGGACCUUGCGCGAUUGAAUGAGCCGAUGUCGGAUUAGCUAGUUGGCGGGGUAAAGGCCCACCAAGGCGACGAUCCGUAGCUGGUCUGAGAGGAUGAUCAGCCACACUGGAACUGAGACACGGUCCAGACUCCUACGGGAGGCAGCAGUGGGGAAUAUUGGACAAUGGGCGCAAGCCUGAUCCAGCCAUACCGCGUGGGUGAAGAAGGCCUUCGGGUUGUAAAGCCCUUUUGUUGGGAAAGAAAAGCAGCAGGUUAAUACCCCGCUGUUCUGACGGUACCCAAAGAAUAAGCACCGGCUAACUUCGU